CACGUAGGGCGCAAGCGUUGUCCGGAAUUAUUGGGCGUAAAGAGCUCGUAGGCGGUCUGUUGCGUCUGCUGUGAAAACCCGGGGCUUAACCCCUGGCUUGCAGUGGAUACGGACAGACUAGAGGUAGGUAGGGGAGAAUGGAAUUCCCGGUGUAGCGGUGAAAUGCGCAGAUAUCGGGAGGAACACCUGUGGCGAAAGCGGCGCACUGGACCACAACUGACGCUGAGGCGCGAAAGCUAGGGGAGCAAACAGG
rnacentral:rRNA from 1 species